AGCGAACGUUAGCGGCGCGCCUAACACAUGCAAGUCGCACGAGAAAGGGGGCAACCCCCGGUACAGUGGCGCACGGGUGAGUAACACGUGGAUUACCUGCCCUGGAGUGGUGGAUAACCUGCCGAAAGGUGGGCUAAUACAACAUGAGACCACGCGGUUUCGAUCGUGAGGUCAAAGCAGGCUUCUGUUCACAAGCUCGCGCUCUAGGAUGGGUCCGCGGCCCAUCAGCUAGUUGGUAGGGUAACGGCCUACCAAGGCAACGACGGGUAGCUGGUCUGAGAGGAUGGCCAGCCACACUGGAACUGAGACACGGUCCAGACUCCUACGGGAGGCAGCAGUGGGGAAUCUUGCGCAAUGGACGAAAGUCUGACGCAGCGACGCCGCGUGGGUGACGAAGGCC
rnacentral:rRNA from 1 species